UACAGAGGCCUCGAGCGUUGUUCGGAAUUACUGGGCGUAAAGGGCUCGUAGGUGGCCAACUAAGUCAGACGUGAAAUCCCUCGGCUUAACCGGGGAACUGCGUCUGAUACUGGAUGGCUAGAGUUUGGGAGAGGGAUGCGGAAUUCCAGGUGUAGCGGUGAAAUGCGUAGAUAUCUGGAGGAACACCGGUGGCGAAGGCGGCAUCCUGGACCAACACUGACGCUGAGGAGCGAAAGCCAGGGGAGCAAACGGG
rnacentral:rRNA from 1 species